GCCUCGAUAGCUCAGUUGGGAGAGCGUUAGACUGAAGAUCUAAAGGUCACCAGUUCGAUCCUGGUUCUGGGUA
rnacentral:tRNA from 1 species